CCCAAUGUUAGAAAUGGAGGCGCUUCAGAAAUAGCACGGCGUUGUUCUUUUGCAUUGUUAUAAAAAAUAUCUGCGUGGACUGUUCAAAGUGCUCUAUAACCUGGAUGUCCCCGCAUACAUAUCAAGCGUACCCAUGCAGCCAUUUUUGCGGUAAAUGUUGGUUUACAAUCUAUCACGUUUGCUAUCAAUCGUUUAGCUGAGGCCCAUAUACUGUGUACGGCUUUAAUAGCGACAAGAAAACUAGUGCUUCGAGUUGGUUUUGAGUUAAAUAAAAGCAAAUAUGAACAGUCGACUACAAGAAAUCCGGGAAAAACAGAAGCGUAGGAGGUCUCUUUUAGCCCAACAGCUUGGUGCAAAAAGUGCAGACACAAUCGGAGAUGUUCUCAAUAGCAAAGAUGAGCAAAAGGAGAUAGAGGAGACAAGAGAAACGUGCAGGGCUUCGUUUGACAGUUCAACCUUGUCUUCAAAGAGGAAGGCAUUGACUGAGGGUGAUGACACAGAGGAAGAUGUGGAAGAGCACAAAGAAGAAAUGGAGAUGCAGCAACCCGAUGACAACAAUCCAUAUGAGGAAGUGUACAAGGACUCUAGUACUUUUCUUAAGGGAACUCAAAGCUUAAACCCUCACAAUGACUACUGUCAGCACUUUGUCGACACAGGCCACAGGCCACAAAACUUUAUCAGGGAUGUAGGCUUGGCAGAUCGCUUUGAAGAGUACCCUAAACUGAGAGAGCUGAUUCGACUUAAAGAUGAGCUCAUUUCCAGUACCAACACUCCACCAAUGUACCUUCAGGCAGACCCAGAGACCUUUGAUUUGCAAGAUUUGAAAUGUAAAUUUGAUGUCAUUCUGCUGGAACCUCCACUAGAAGAAUACUACAGAGAAUCUGGGAUCAGCCACACUGAGCGUUUCUGGACAUGGGAUGAUAUUAUGAAGUUGGAGAUUGAAGAGAUAUCAGCUCUUCGCUCCUUUGUCUUUCUAUGGUGUGGAUCUGGGGAAGGAUUAGAUCUUGGUAGAAUGUGUUUGAGAAAAUGGGGUUUUAGACGAUGUGAAGACAUCUGUUGGAUAAAGACAAACAAAAACAAUCCAGGCAAGACAAAGGCACUGGAUCCCAAAGCAGUAUUCCAAAGGACAAAAGAACACUGCCUAAUGGGAAUCAAAGGUACAGUUCGUCGGAGCACUGAUGGGGAUUUCAUCCAUGCCAAUGUUGACAUUGACUUGAUCAUCACAGAGGAGCCUGAGAUGGGAAACGUUGAGAAACCAGUUGAAAUAUUUCACAUCAUUGAGCACUUCUGUUUGGGACGUAGACGAUUACACUUGUUUGGAAGAGACUCCACUAUAAGACCAGGGUGGUUAACAGUGGGCCCCACUCUCACAAACAGUAACUUUAAUCCUGAAGCUUAUGCCUCUUACUUUGCUUUGCCCAACUCCAACCUUUCAGGUUGUACUGAAGAAAUUGAACGUCUGCGACCUAAAUCUCCUCCAGCGAAACUCAAGUCAGACCGAGGUGGCGGGGCCCCUAGAGGAGGUCGUGGUGGUCCAAACACUGGAAGAGGUGGAGAUAGAGGAAGAGAAAGAAACCGUCCAAAUUUUCGUGGUGAUAGGGGAGGGUUCAGAGGCAGAGGAGGCCCACACAGGGGAUUUCCACCACGUUAGAUUAUCACCAGAACAGCAUGGGUUUUUGACAACAUUGUCACCGACAUAUACUAUGUUUUUUAGUACACUGUCUGGAUUGAAAUCUCUGAACUAACUCGUUGGCCAUAUCUGUUCAUGUGUUUCCUGCGUGCUGCAUGAAUGUGCAAGGCAUGUCUUGGCUUAUCACAAGGAAUGUCACACACCUUUUGAUCAGAUGUGCACACACGUAAAGGGAUGUUUGGGAUGUUACUGUUUUUCUCCCUUUAUUAUAUUUGUAUUAUUAUUAGUACCCAGUUGUGUUUUA